GACGAACGCUGGCGGCGUGCUUAACACAUGCAAGUCGAACGAAGUGGCGAACGGGUGAGUAACGCGUAAUCAACCUGCCCUUCCGAGGGGGACAACAGUUGGAAACGACUGCUAAUACCGCAUAAUGAAGGAGGGGAUUGCGUUUGAUUAGUUAGUUGGAGGGGUAACGGCCCCACAAGGCUAUGAUCCGUAGCCGGUCUGGGAGGAUGAACGGCCACAUUGGGACUGAGACCCGGCCCAGAGUCCUACGGGAGGCAGCAGGGGGGAAUCUUCCGCAAUGGACGAAAGUCUGACGGAGCAACGCCGCGUGAGUGAUGUCGGCCUUCGGGUUGUAAAGCUCUGUUAAUCGGGACGCGGUACCGGAAUAGAAAGCCACGGCUAACUACGUGCCAGCAGCCGCGGUAAUAC
rnacentral:rRNA from 1 species